UGCCUCCAGUUUUCUAGAAGUUAACUUAUGCUUGCUUACACUCAUAUAUAGCAACACUCUCCCUUUUCUCUCUUCUUUCUCAUUAACCAAGCCUUCCUGUUUGUAGAGAAAAAACUAUCGACUGUCAGUGUUACACUCAUAUUUUUCAGAUACUUUUUAUUUCUUCAAAACUCACAUAUCUUAUUUAUUAAGAGUUUUCUGAAGGAAAUUAAAUAGAAUUAUUUUAAUUAGUUUUGCAUUCUAAAGAAGUUCUUGAGAUUUUGGUAACUGUCCAAUGUAUUGUUCUCUAAAUCUAAGAAAAAGAGAAUAACCAGAGUAAAAAGAAAUAGAGAAGCAAGUCAAAAAAAUUAGGGCAAGGGCUACUGAGAAAAAUAAAGCUGAUUGGCAGAAAGAAAAAGUAAACUUUAAAUAUAGUUUAGGAAAGGUUUUAUCAAUUAUAAAUAAGAAAAAAGAUAUACAUGGGGCUACAGUGGAUCUCUGGCUAAUUAUGUCUUAAAAACUUACCCCUGUUGUUCAGAGACAUAAUACUGAUGGUCACUGAAGAAUUUGGAAAAUAUAAAUAACCAUCCAAUUAUAUGCAUUAUAAAUCAUUUCUUCAUUAUCCCAUUGUGCUCUUUAACAUCUUAAUACUUAUGCCAAACGUGUAGAAUUUAAAGCAGGUCCAGAGGAAGCAGCAAUACAACUUAAAAGUUGCAAUGAAACAAGGGUAAAGGAACUGGCCUUGUUUAGUCUGGAGAAGAGACUGGGAAGGAAUUAAUAGCAGUCUUCAAGUGUGUGAAGGAACACAGUCCUUUGCAGGUAGAGAUGAACAGCUGGUCUCUGUUUCCUUUGAGAAUAGUACAAGACAGCAUGGUCUUAAAUGUGGUAGAUGAGGAUUUAGGCAAGAUGUUAGGAAGAUCUUCUCUACUCAGGGGAGGUGCAGGGAGAGGAUCUUCAGAUCUUCAGGAUUUAGAGUGUGUUGAAUUAUUAUUAUUAUAUUUGGAGUCAGCUAGUUCAAUUUGCAGAAAAUAAAGAAUGAAUGCAAUCUAUAAAACAGGAGCCUGUGGCGGAAAGGAAACAAAGAAUGAAUAAUUGUGAUCUACGGAUAAAGACCAUUUGGAUGAAAAAAAAAAUGUUAAGUUCAAGAUGUGUAUGAGAGUCAGAAUACUUGACCAGAAGGAAAACACAUUAUAGAAAAAAGAAAGAGGUUAAUUAGAUAAAGACAAAACAAUGAAAAUUUGAGGGUAUGGAAUCUACUUAGAAUAAACAUAAAAUUUUCAUCAAAAUUUUGUUUUGGUGAUGAGAGAAGAAUUAUAGUUAACCAUGUGCACAGUAUAUGUAAUCCACCAGCAAUUUUUAAAAAUUUGUGGGGUUGACACUCUUAAAUAUUAAAAAUAGAACAAGCAAACAAAUUAUCUGUAUUUCUUGUUGCUUUGUAAAAAACAAAAUGUAAUGGGGAAAUGAACUAAGUAACUUUUCUUAUCUUUCUCAAUCUUUUGAUUCUAUGGUAGUAAGUAAAUGGUCCAUAUAUACCAAAUAAAACAAGAAUGAAGAAUGCAUAGAAUUCAAGAAGCAAUAUUAUAACAGUAGGACUAAUUCACAAAAAUGAUUGCAAAAGUCAUCGACAUCCUUAUCACAGGAUAUAUUAACGGGGUGUUCAGUGAUCUAGGUUUUACACAGAGCAAACAAAGGAAAGUGAUUCAUGAAUUUAAGAAUCUUAGAGUCUCAGAUUUAUUGUCAUUUGAUGAGAAUGUUGCAUUACAGUGCAAUCACUUGGGAAUGUAAAAUCUAUUACACUUAAAAUGAUGCUUAGAUAUAUAAAUGUAGGAACAUAAAUGUCCAGUUCAACAAACUGAAUUGUUAAAGGAAGUGUACUGGAUUUUAAAAUAAUUACAGAGGUUAAAAUUUUCAGUCUCCUUGAACUAUGAUUGCAAUUUCUGAUAAUCAGAAUUGUGCUUAAAGAUUACAAAUAUAUUAUAUUCUGGUUCUGUGUAAGCAGCUUGAUUCCUAGAUUACUUGCUUAGUUUUAUCAAUUUUCUCAUUACUUUAUUCCUUCCCACAGUCAUUCUACCUCUUUGAAGAUGGAAUGGAUCCUGCUUAUGUUUAGCUUUGCUGAAAAAAUUCUCAAUAUCUCACAGCUGCGUUUUGUCAUUGAUAGGCUCACUCUAAUGUGUUUUGCAAAGCACUAUUUUUUUCUGAUGUUUGAAACUUUGCUUUACUCUAAAGAGCAGAAAAUAGAAUACUCCAUAUUUGAUUUUAUUUUGCCAAGAUGAUAGUUAUGUAUAUUUUAUAACAUUCUGGUACACAGAUACGAACAAUCUAAAAAUAGAUUCUUGAAAAUAUUUUUUUGCUACUUUUUAAAAAUAUACUAACACUUCACUUGUAAAAUGAUUUUGGUCUGGAAAUACAUUUUAGCUUCUCUCUCUCUCUCUCUCUCUCUCUCUCUCUCUCUCCAAAGAAAAGCCUUUUGUUCUGGUCUCUCUGGCACUACCUCAUUCUGUGACUUUCUGCUGUCCCCUAGUGGCAUGUUAAUCUUCGUGACUACUGUGAUAGCCCUGAAACCAAUUCUCUAGUCUUCUGUGCUUUCUUGUGACUCUCAUUAGCAGACAUUUAAAAUACUAUUAAACAACCCAUGAGCUGCCUUUUAGAAGCAAUAACCCUGUUCUUUAGCCCAAACUGUUUUCCAUUUAUGAAUUCUUACCGGAGAACACGUGUCCAGGGAAUUCAUGCUAUCUAGAUACAUUGUAUUAUCACAAUAAACAUUGCAGGUUUUCAGAAUUCUAACACAAAACUGAUAAAAGCAAAAUGUUAUCAGUUCUGACUGUUCUAUACAUAGCAUGCAGUAGCUAAAAGGUAAGUUGUGGCAGGUCAGACAAUUUAUGUCAAUAGGUUUACAAACAAAAACAGUACUAUUCCUUUUCCUUUACUUUUCAAAGUCUUGAAUGGUUACUACAAUUGUAAUAUUUGUUCUUUUCAUAGUGACAUAUUUCUAUGAAAAAAUUAGACAGAUACAAUGAUCUGAUAUACAUUUGAAGCAUUUGAUGAAAAUUAAUUUAUAGAAAAGAAAGACGCAUCAAAGUUUACGAGGAUGAUUUUUUUAAAAAAGCUUCUUAAAAUUUUCUGCAUGUCAUCUUUUUUUCUAAAUGGAUCUGAAUUUUUUUAAAGUAAAGAUAAAUUAAUUAUCUCCCUUCUAAAAUUCCUUGAGUACAGUGUUCAGCUCUACUAUGGAGCUGGUAAAUAUUUUAGCAUAGACAUCUGGUUUUCUGAAUUUGUCAUUUCAAAACUCAUGUGAUGAAACUGGAAUGUAAGUUUGUCAACAACAAUAUUUAAGUUUUUAAAAACUUAAUCUCAACUGGUAAUUACUAUAAACCUGCUUCACACAAUUCUUUGGAAGAUGGCUAAAAGCAACCAAGAAGAAUUUAUGAGAAAAAAAGUCUGAUGAAAUCUAGUCCAUUAACUGAACUUUACAGAAAUCUGAGCUGUGUACUGAACUAAUGAUUUCUUGGCACUGCCUUGUUUGGCACUUGUCAUGGUUUUGACAAUUAUCACAUGAAUAGCAACACUAUUUUCUUUCUGAACUCAGGAGAAAGGGGUUUUGUGGGGGUGGGAGUGAGAAGGAGGCCCAACUCCUGCUUCUUAGUAAUCCAAGUAUACAGUUUGGUCAUGUAGAAGGGAAAGAAGUAAGCUGUAAGGCCCUGUCACAUGACAAUCUCUUUUUAUUCAAAGAGAAGUUGAUGUAGUUUUUGAACUGCCUCUCUUCUGAAAGGUCAGCUUGCGGACCAGUUUGGUCAUUUUGUCUGUUUAUCUGUGCUUCCACUGGCACAAGAUAUCAAAAAACAAGGUCUUAGAUUGCAAUCAGUCUUGCUUAAAUAUGAAGUCAUCCAACCAGUCCAAUCCAAGAAAUCCUAUUGACUAUCUUGAGGAAAGGGAAGAGUUUAGACCUCCUGAACUUUUUCUCAAGCAAAAAAGGUAAACCACUUUUCUAAACCUCCUUAACAAAUGAUAGAACUCCGAUCAUCCCCUCCUUCAAUUUAUCCUCCCACCAAAUUUCUCAAAUUCAGAUCACAUGGUUUUCUAAAAAUACACUCUCCAAACGCUGUAAUUUACAAUAGCUAGUUUUCACAGAGAAAUGUCUGAUUUUUUCAGUUGCCUAUUCAGAUUGUAAAUGUCCUAAAAAUGCUCUCCUGGAGUUAUUUUUAAAACAUUAUGGUAUGUUAGAUAAUAAAUAUUGCUGCUUUGUUAUUGGAAACAUUGGAAGUGGCAUAUUUGACAGGUUAAUAGGAAGGAGGAUUCCAUCUGAAAUUUUAAUUAAUUUCAUUUUGGAUACAUGUGACUUAUAAAAUCUUAAUACUAAUGUCUAAAUGUGAAAAAAAUUUGCUGUUAGAGAUUAUACUCACUUGAUUAGCUUGCAGAUUAUUUGGAAAAUAGGGGCAGGAAAAAGUUUUCUUUUUUAAAAAAAUUAAAUCUAGAGACAGUCUUAAUAAAUCUUCUCUAAAGUAAUAUAGCAUUAUCAGUGGCCUAUUCUCUACAGAAUUAGUUUUUCCAAAACAAAUAAUAAAGCUGAGCAGUCCUACUUUUUACAACUCUGGAGACUAUCUAAACAAAAUGAACAGAUUUAUAGGGCUAUUUUUAGUGUGUGUCACUUGCAUUACAGUUUACAUUUGCUUUCAAACCUUAUUUGACAUUCUUGGUAGAAAAAUACAGGCAGAACCCUCAUUAAGAUCCUUAAUAAAGGACAGUCUCCAUAGGGCAGUUACCAAAAAACCAAAGUCGUGGCAUGUAUAGGAAUGUUCUUUUGGACUUUAUGUCAUGCCUACUUCAUUUUCAUUUGUGUAAAUAGUAAAGGCCCGAACCAGAAUGCAGAUGUACAGAUUCUCUUUAUAACAACCAUUUGGCAUUGGUAUAGUCUACUAAUAAUAAUUGAAGUAAAAGCAUAUUUUUCACAGUUUGGAAUUUUCACACAGCAACAGGUAAGUACUGCUAUGUCUAAAUAACUAUUAUUCUUCCAUAAAUUGUAUAUUCACAUUAAAGUGAAAGUUAACUUGCUGGAGAAGUGUAGUACAAUGCUGUGAUUUUCUGCAAACCAUUCUUUAGUGCACAAAAAAUGCAUGGAAAACCUUAUGUAAUGUUAUGAAAUAUGUCAUCACACAUCAAUUUAUGAAAAAAUCAUGUUGUAUUUCAAAAUAUAGAUGGGAGGAUUAAAUGUUUGCAUUUUGUCUAAACCAAGUUUCCCUACCAGCUUGUUCCACAUCAGGAGAAAGACCAAUCUCUUCCAUUGUGAAGGGGAACCCAUUUCACUUACAUAUACAGAUAAAGAAUAAAGAAUUCAUCUCCUUUUGUUUAUUUAGAAAAGAUAUUACAUCUAGAGGGAAGUAUUAAGAAGAUAAAACCAGAUACAUAUUUAGUCACUUUAUCAUAUCUUUCUCUUCUACGUAAAGGAGAACACUUUGAUAAGGUUAGACUGUACAGGAAACCUAAAUUGACACUCCGUUCAAUGUGUUGUAUGCUUUCAUAUUAAUCGUGUUCAUGGCAAACUCCCUAGUAAGGAAAUACCUUAGCUGUAGACAUCAUUUAGUUGAGCCUUAUAAAUAGAGCUCAAAUUCAAAGGUAAGAAAGCAGACAAGAAUUUAACACCAACCACCCUGAUAAGAUUAUGUUUUCAAAGCAAAAACAUGUCUACGAAGUGUUGUGGUGUGGAAAUGUCCGAUUAAACUCUUAAGCAAACAUGCUUUCCCACACAGCAGCCUCUUUAUUUGCAUGAAAUAAUUCCUUAGAACAACAAAAAGUAACUUGGCACAACUAGUGGAGCUUAUUAAAAGUCAGUGUACCACAUUUAAACCUGAAAAAGAGUUUUCUAUACAAUGAUGGCUUCUCAGAUGGCUCCUUAUGAACUUGAGUAAACUGACAAGUAAAAUGACUCACUUGGACUAGUAGAGAAUAAUAUUCAUUGCAACUGCUAAAAAAUACAAAUUAAGACACUUUGGGAGGUUUCAAACAGUUUGCUAUACAUGAGUCUUCUAAGAAAGUAGUUUUAUAGCUUGAUGAGUGUUUUUAACUAGUUAAAGAUGUUACUACAGCUACCUUAAAGCCGUGUUGUAAAACAAUGCCUUUGAUUAAAAGAUUGUCAGGGUUGGUUUUUUUCUAAUUUGAAGCUUUCAAUCAUCCUAUUUAUUUGGCUUUACAGUGUAAAGGAAUUGGUUUUCUCUAGUAAAUUUAUCAAUUACUAAUUAGUUUGGUGGUGAGUGGCUAAUUUGGGUUUCUAUAUAAAAUAGGGCCAGUUUCAAUUUCUCCUAGCAUUGGUUUAUCCUGGCCUAUUUAACAUAUGAAUUAAGCCCAGAUAUCUUUCAGAAUUCAACGCUGUACUUAUUCCUGCCAAAAUAAUAAAAAAUAAUUUAUUGUUGUAAUCUCGAUUUAUGGUUUAGUUAGGCAGAGUAAAAAUAUGACCUCUGUAGGAAUCCCCAUUGCCCCUUAAAUUCCAGUUUGCUUUACAAUGGGUUUGUGUGCUGGUGAAAGUUGGUCCAGCUAACACUUAAUAUGUCAAGUUCAAAAUGAGCUGCUUCUGAUUUCAAAGUCAUAUUAAAAUGAGAGGAGAUGAAAAUCCUCUUCAAAUAGAUUAUUUAACUCCUUGUAACUUUAAAUGACAAAAAGAAAAAACGAUAAACCUAGUCAUAAGAUAAAUACAUUGCAAGCAGGAACAUAUGAAGCAUUUUUCAAAAUUAAACUGCUAUGACAAGCAGUUGUAAGGCAGUCUGUUUUCUUUUUUGGGGGGUGUUAAAGAUAUUAUAAUUGAAAAAUGAAUACCCACAGCAACUAGCAUCUUCUUUUAAGAUGUUCUUUUUUUAUUCAGAAAAGAAUAUCUUUUUUAAUCAAAUAUAUUCACAAUGUUUUGUAAAUUUGGUGAUCUGAGUUUUGUAGAUUUGUUUCAGAUGUUUAUAGCAUCACUUUAUGCAUUAUAUAUUUUUGUCCAUAAAGCAUUCUCCAAAUGGUAGUUAUUUCUGUGAAUAAUACAACAAAGCAAGAAAAUAUGGCUUUUUCCCCUACUUCAUCAUUGAAGUGGAAUACGAUCAUUAGCCAGGGCUGUGGUUUAGUAACAACAUUUUGAAAAAUAGCCUAAAUAAGUAGAUGUCAAAUUAACCAAGAAUGGGGCAAUUACCAUCAUUUUCAAAAAAGCAUAUACCAUUAGAAUUUCAAGCUAUAAAUAAUUGUUUUUGAAGAAAAUAGAAAGUUGCAUCUUUACAGGAUUUGCAAACCCUAUCUCUUGAGUGCGUUAAAAAAAGAUUCAGUACUCAAGUUAGAUUUGUGAAAAUCGUGAUUCAGGAACUGUUCAUGAAUAUAAUAAAGUCACAUGACUCACCCUGAAUUUAGAAGUGGCUGAUGCAGCAACAGACAACACGAUGACUUACAGCAUUUUUCCCUUUCAUAAUUUGCAAAAAGUGUUUCUGAUUCAGUUUCCUCAUCCUCUGCAAAGAUGCCUCAGUUCUGAAGCGAGAAGUUUACUUUGUCCAAAUUCCGUCUAGUGUUUUCACUGUUGCUGAAGUCAGAGACAAAGGAUAUUUUCUCAAGCACUGAUUUUUUUAACCCUCUGUGUUUAAUAAGAAUUUAUCAUUUAGAAGUCCUGCAGGUUGAAAUACAUAUAAAAAUCAGUUUUAAUUUCCAAAAACCAUUUACAGUGAAAGAAGAAGGAAUUUCAAUCAUUUUAUCACGUGGCUUAUAUAUCUAGGUAUACUUUUAAUUAAACACAGGUCUAUAAAUAAGCAAAUAAUAGGAGUUAGUGGAGAAGCAGUUGAUCUAAAUCGUGACAGUUGCUCAUUUAUCUUUGUCCUAACUAGACAAUAGGAAAUGACACUACACUGUUGUUUUCUAUGCAUUAAGAUUUCCUUCUUAAACAAAUGCAAUUGAGGCGGUUUGUUUUCCGACAGCCCAGCACACACUGCCAGUGGCCAGAGUUUUGUCUCGUCUUCAUCCAGAGGAGGAUUAAUCUUGGUGAUGGUGCAAACAAAAUAUCUAUUUCUCUGGAGUGAGUGCAGAUGUUUGAGGUGGCUGGAGUUACAUGAAAACUGUAUUUAAGAAAAACUGUCAGCAGACAAGAAUAACGUCAAAUUGCAAAACAAAAUACUGUGAAUGAAUCCAUAGAAGAGGAAGUAUGAACAAGGAUGAAGGAAAAUAUUCCUAGCAUAAUGAAUGAAGAUGACUUAAGUGGAUGAAAUCAUACAAUAUAUGGCCUUUGUGGAUAGCUUCUUUUGCUAAGCAUAGUGUUUUCCAUUUCACGAUCAAAGGGAAAUAUGGCAUAGAUUCGUCUGACCCCUCUGACAGCUUCCAUUCAGCAGAAAUGAGAGAAGAAAGCUAGACACAGCUGUGAAGCCAGAAGUCUGAAGAGCAGCAUCCAGGCAAUGAUGUCGGACAGCUCUCGGCAGCUGCUCACGACCCCAUCCGGCGGGGUAGCAGCGUUUGUAUUAGGGCCUCCAGCGUGGAAGCACCAUCAGCAAUUCUGCUCUCAGAACGCUGAAGAGUUUCUGAGUUUGGAAGGAACAAAGCAAAUGACUUGUGAGAGCACAACACCCAAAUCUUUGAUGGUUUUUCCCUUGCCAGUUGCCAUACAAGGAAUUAUACAGCUCAAUAAAAUGAAGCACUCAGCGCUGUGUGGUUCAUACAAGUGGUUGGAAGGAUUCUGAGGAGCCCUGAAGACACAUCUCGGAGGAAGAGGCUUCUGGGUGGCAGUCAGAGCAACUGAGAGUCCAGGUGAGGUGAGUUCCCGCUUUAUUCCUUACCCCCCACAUGAAAAGUGCUUAGCCCCCAGCUCUGCCUCAGGCCAAAGGCAUGAGGCCAUCGCCUGAAGCUCCUGAUGAAUCCUCAUAGACUUCUGUGGUCAGAGUUUCUCAGGCAAAACCAGCACAGAGCAAAUGCUUUGUACUUGAUGUCUGCCUCUUGAAAGCUUGGAGCAAAGAUAUCUCUUUGAAAAAAUAAGAAAAAAAAUGGAAAUUAUGCUUAGAAGGCCAUUUUUCAUCUCUUGCCAUUUGUGUAUGCAGCAAACACUAAAUAUUGUAUUGCCUAGCAGGAAGUCAAAUACAAGUGCCCGGUGUGUCUUAAAUAAAAUAAGAGGCAUGUUCAUUUAGAGUUUGUGAGUGAUAAUUCAACAUGAAAAUCUGGGGGCAAAGAAAUGAUCUUGGGAGCCCCUAGGCAAACCAGGAGAACUGGCACAUGGGCAGUCAGCAACCCGGCUUUCUGUCAUUACCAAUGGGAUGUACAUUGCCUUUUUCCUCCUGUCUUUAUUCAUUUUUCAACAGCCUGCCACAUGCAAUAUGCCAAAUUUCAUAUAAAAAAGCCCUACACACACAUACACACACACACGCACACACACGCACACACACACAGGAACUGAAGAAACUUCAGCAGAUCCCAGCAUAGACAGACAGUAAAAACAGCCAUCUGCACUGAAGCCGGGGAUUUAUUCAAUUACAUUUGCCCGAGUUAUUUGUUUGGCUUUGCAAUGUAAAGAGUUCUGUUUUAUUGUUGGAACUUUUCAGACUGUCGAACUGUUUUCAAAACUCUUUUCCCAGAUGCAUUUGGCAUUUACCAACAGUGAGCAAGCACCAGCCAUGGAACACAAAAAUGUGUGUGCAUCAGAUGGACAUUAAAAUCUUUACCUAGGUCAGCUGCCAGAAUCAGACUAAGGUUUCUGCUAUUUAAUGGAAAGUUAAAAGAAGUUUACAGCCCUAAUGCCUGUGGCACAGAUUAUUUUUCAGGGUUGUGGGGAUUAAAGCAUAAGAGAUUCUUUCAAGCAAGUUUGAACAAGGGUGUUAGGAAGCAUGACUGGCAGGUGGCUGAGCUGCACAGUGUCAUCCAAGUUCAAGCUUCUGAACAUGAUGUUAUCUAUUCCCAACUCAGAUUUCACGUUUGAUCCUGAGGAUUCUAGCAUUGCUAUAAUCAAGUCAGGUAGUGUGGCCAACCCUUCACUUUUAUUUAAAGCAGUGGUUCCUAGUACUAUGCAUGCUUUAAAUUAAACUACAUAAUUGCUCCUGAAUAAUAUUAUUUGUGAAAGUAGCUAUUAUCCACAGAAGAUCGACAUUCAUUCCCAAAAAAGGUAAAAAGUCAUAAUCAUCAGGAUAAUCUAUCACAAAUCCCCUAUUCUUAUCUAUGGACACAAUGCAAGUAUAUAUUAGAUCAAAAGAGAAAGAUGUAAUGCUCUACCUCAACAUGAGGUAUUAUAGCACAUUAUAUUUUUCACAUGUGGUCUUAAAUUUCAUAACAAUGCCACAAAUUUUGGAAUUUUCGUUACGAGAUGAAUCCAGUAUUUUUGUACAAGGCUUGUUUGAUAUACACCUGUUGUAAUUGUUUCACACAUAAACACGGAUGGAUGUGUGUGUGUGUGUGUGUAUAUUUGCUUUAGUAUCUGUCUUUUUUUGUUGUUGUUGUUCCGACAGGCAGAGUGGACAGUGAAAGAGAGAGGCAGAGAGAAAGGUCUUCCUUUGCCGUUGGUUCACCCUCCAAUGGCUGCCGCGGCUGGCGCGCUGCGGCCGGCGCACCACGCUGAUCCGAUGGCAGGAGCCAGGAGCCAGGUGCUUUUCCUGGUCUCCCAUGGGGUGCAGGGCCCAAGCACCUGGGCCAUCCUCCACUGCACUCCCUGACCACAGCAGAGCGCUGGCCUGGAAGAGGGGCAACCGGGACAGAAUCCGGCGCCCCGACCGGGACUAGAACCUGGUGUGCCGGCGCCGCAAGGUGGAGGAUUAGCCUAGUGAGCCGCGGCACUGGCC